rnacentral:lncRNA from 1 species
CUUUGUCCCAUUGUUGCAAGGCAGAGGUGGCAGUCCGGGAAUGAGGAGUGGCUCUACUUGGUAGCAACCUAUUCGUGAUACAUUCUCAUCUGUUCUUGAGAAGAAAUAUUAUGAAUAGGGAGUUCGGAGGUGUUUCCUGCAGGCCAGCUGCAGCAUCACUACUGGAAAGUCUCAGCCGCAAGAGAAGAACACAGGCCAGAUUGAAAGCAGUGACUUACUGGUGACUGAUCUCAGCUGAUGAGGGGACAAAUGACUCCUUGGUGAACUGGGCUAGCUCCCAGAAAAAGAAUCCAUUGCUUUGGAAAAGAGAUUAAUGAAGUACAUUCAGCGGAUCUGCUGGCCAGUGGACAGCAGUUUGUACUGCAGCCACCGGAUGAGGCGUUUUGUUGUGUCACUGGAUUAUUUAUAUCUUCCGUUGACUAGCACAUUGGUUUCCCUAAAGCAGACUUCCCCUGGAUAGGAUGAGACUUAAGCAAGUGCCGUUUAAGUGGAAGAUAUAUGAUAUUCACAGUCAUAUAAGACUUGACUAGCAUAGAACUGGACUCUGGACUAUCAGGCUUACAGAUUGGCUGGAGAAAGGCAAGCUCAGUUGCUGUAAGUAAAAGAAGCAUGGCAGUAUGAAAGAAGAAUGUGGGGAAAAGCAAUAAAUAUUUUAUCUGCUGAAAACA